GUGGGGAAUAUUGGACAAUGGGCGAAAGCCUGAUCCAGCAAUGCCGCGUGAGUGAUGAAGGCCCUAGGGUUGUAAAGCUCUUUUACCAGGGAUGAUAAUGACAGUACCUGGAGAAUAAGCUCCGGCUAACUCCGUGCCAGCAGCCGCGGUAAUACGGAGGGAGCUAGCGUUGUUCGGAUAUACUGGGCGUAAAGCGCACGUAGGCGGCGCAGCAAGUCAGGGGUGAAAUCCCGGAGCUCAACUCCGGAACUGCCCUUGAAACUGCAGUGCUAGAAUCUUGGAGAGGCGAGUGGAAUUCCGAGUGUAGAGGUGAAAUUCGUAGAUAUUCGGAAGAACACCAGUGGCGAAGGCGACUCGCUGGACAAGUAUUGACGCUGAGGUGCGAAAGCGUGGGGAGCAAACAGGAUUAGAAACCCCGGUAGUCC
rnacentral:rRNA from 1 species